GGCAAGGGGAAAGCCAUUGAAGUUGACAAGGAGAAGUUAGUGGGUUCACUGACAUUUUGCAAAAAUGGACAACUAAUCAUAUCCUGCUGAAAAGGUGAGGAUUCCCUAUUCAAAUUCCCCAGGAGAAAAACCAUUCUAGAUAUCUAAAAAGACCUGCAGAAGAAUGUAAAACUUCAAAAGCCGAUAUAGUUGAAAUUAAACCGAGAUAACAGAAAGUACAUAUUUUAAGUGUCUGUACCUAAACUCAGAAGGUAGCAAGAAUACAAGCGAAAAUAAAACGUGAGAUACAAUAAAUCACUUGAUCUCCCUUAUGAUUUGCCAAACUACACUACAGCUAAAGGUGAAUUACAAGCACAAACUCAUGCUGCCUGUUAAUUUGCAAAAUUUGAUAGACAAAAAGUUCUAACCUGAGAAUUAUACAUACAUCUAGAGAACGAAGUCCAUUCGUAAAAGGUUUACAACCAUAAACUAAGAACUAAGACUUUCACUUGGGGAAAGUUGAAACUUUUGUCCUAAUAAUCAUCCAUUUCACCCUAAAUUCUUCAAAAUAGAAAAUAUAUAAUAUUUUUUCAAUAAAUCCAUAUGAAUAUUUCCUGCUAAACUAACAGUGCUAGCAAAAAAGUGAUUGCGAAUUAUGCCAAAUUGAGUUCAAAAAGUUAAUAUCAAACACGUAUUCAGCAAUCUCGAAAUUAAUUGAACAACAAGUGACAUUCGAAACCCAUAAAUCAGAACUUGAUAAAAAGCCCAAAAUCACAACUUUUGCAGCAAAAUAUACGUAAUUACAUACAAACAUAUGGAUCAAAACUAGAUAGGACUAAGAUAAUACCUUUAAAAUUGUAAUGAGGCAAAACUCGAAAGCGUGAUAUGUAGGGAGAAAUGAGAAUCUUGGAGUAUGUAGGCAAGGACAAUGGCAGUGGAGAGAACAUCAACGAGUAUAUUUAGGACGGCGUCACGAGUCCACACGCCUAUUUUGAUUUUGAAGAAGUAGUAGUACUAGAAUAUUAGUGUCGUAGAAAUUUUCUUCUCCCUCCAUUGUUGAACGGACAGCAAUAUCGGUCAGCAUUGUACCAACUCUUUUUUAUUAUUUAUUAUAUUUAUUUAUUUUGGUGAGGCCCUUUCAACGUGGUUUCGAAGAAGGGUACCUUUCGAAUGCGGUCCUGAAGUUUUCAACAAAAUUUCAAUUGGAUACUAAAUUUUUAAUUUAUCUCAAUUUUCCAUUGAACUUUAAUUUAUAUUCAAUUAUGUCACUGAACUUCAAUUCAAUUUUAAAUAUUACCACUUUGUUGAGAAAUGACAAAAUGCCCCAUCCUCACAUGCCUUGUUGAGAAUUGAGACAUAGAUAGGGAACAUGAUACUUGCCAUGAAUUCAAAACUUAUUUUAUUUUAUGCCAAUUAAACUUAACUCGUAUUAUGAAAAAAGCAAAAGUAAUUGUGUCAUGUUAUGUUGCCUUUCCAAUCGAUAAAAAAUGUUCAAUUGACAAUUAUAUCAAUACAGAUGACAAUUUUUUAUUUUUUAUGAAGUACGAUUUAAAUUUGAAAACAUAAAUAAUAAGAGUCAAGGGUAGGGUAGGAAAAUUCCCAUUCCGGCUCUAAUUCCCUUCUAACUGGCAAAUUGUGGCUCCAUAUACAACAAUCGAUGUGAUUCAUUUUAUUAUUCCUACAUUUCACAAAGAUCUUCCAUUUAAUUGUUGUGUGUCAUGUCAACUUACCAUUACGACAUAUGACAAAAGUGUUAAAAAAAAAAAAAAAUUCUUUUUAAUCUUAAGAUGUUGGAACCCUUAGUUCGUCAUAUUCAUUCUUAGGGUGUCUCGUAGAGAUUACAUAAAAGAGGAGGCUGACAACUAAAUUAUUUUUCUCUGUUUGAAUUAAAUUAGAGUGUUACAGGAAAAAAAUAUUUUUAAUUAAAUUAAAGUUCUCUAAUUCAAUUGAGAUAAAUUAAAGAUUAAAGAUUAAAGUUUAAUGACAAUAGAGCUCUUGUUUUUUAUGUGAAAUUUUGAGUGUUUGGAGAUGAUCUAUUCUCAAUAAGACGGCUCGGUAAUAGAUCACUUCUUUCAAAGGGCACCCCAUUCGUUUUGCUCAUAAAUUAUAAUAAUUCAAUAAAUUCUCCGAGUUGCAAAUGGAUCUACCGGUUCACCAAUCGUAGAUGGUUCUAGAACCGCUACACCUACUAAAUUCAUACAAUAGUACAUAGAAUUACUACUAGAAAAAUAUAUAAAAGACUAGAAUGUUCAAUUGUCUCAAGACAAAAGUAAUUUUAUGAAUUAUGGAAGAUAUGAAUUCUCCCAAAAAAAAAAAAAAAAAACACAAAAAAUUUUCUUCCCAAAGGGCCUUUGCUACAAGGGGAAGGACUUGAUUUACUGCUCGAUAUGAUUUUGCGAUUGGGCAAUUUCCAUUUUGCAACCACUCAUUGCUUGUUGCCUCGUGUUCUGAUUUCCCUCCCUGAAGACAAAGGAACCAUCAAAAGCUGUCUGUUUCUAACCAUAAUACUACUAAAAAAAUUGCAUAUGCAGGAAAAGUAAAUACUUGUCAGAAUGUAAGUAGACGAUUACCCUUGAGGAAGUGUCCUUUUUGGAGGACUUGGAUUUCUUGUUUUUAAUCUUCCACUUCUCAGAGAAUGCAUCAAAUCCAAAAGGCCAUCCAGAACCAAAACCUGAGAGGCUGAUGGUGGCAGCCUUUGCUGCCAAGGGAUUGAACUGAGUUGAUGCUGGUUCAGACCGCUCAGUGCAAAUUAAUGAUCUUUCGGACAGUGGGACAACACCGUUCUGUCCAUGGAAAAGCCUGAAAGCCAUAUCAAAAUUGGGACCCUCCUCAAAUAUUGGACCUUUCCCAUCCCGCAUCUGGAGGAGGAAGACAAUUUAGAAAAAUGGAAAGCACAAUAAUGCCAAGUUAUGGAUAAAUGUAAACACUGUAAGUGAAAUCAGAUAGACGACUUACAGGCAAGGGGAAAGCCAUUGAAGUUGACAAGGAGAAGUUAGUGGGUUCACUGACAUUUUGCAAAAAUGGACAACUAAUCAUAUCCUGCUGAAAAGGUGAGGAUUCCCUAUUCAAAUUCCCCAGGAGAAAAACCAUUCUAGAUAUCUAAAAAGACCUGCAGAAGAAUGUAAAACUUCAAAAGCCGAUAUAGUUGAAAUUAAACCGAGAUAACAGAAAGUACAUAUUUUAAGUGUCUGUACCUAAACUCAGAAGGUAGCAAGAAUACAAGCGAAAAUAAAACGUGAGAUACAAUAAAUCACUUGAUCUCCCUUAUGAUUUGCCAAACUACACUACAGCUAAAGGUGAAUUACAAGCACAAACUCAUGCUGCCUGUUAAUUUGCAAAAUUUGAUAGACAAAAAGUUCUAACCUGAGAAUUAUACAUACAUCUAGAGAACGAAGUCCAUUCGUAAAAGGUUUACAACCAUAAACUAAGAACUAAGACUUUCACUUGGGGAAAGUUGAAACUUUUGUCCUAAUAAUCAUCCAUUUCACCCUAAAUUCUUCAAAAUAGAAAAUAUAUAAUAUUUUUUCAAUAAAUCCAUAUGAAUAUUUCCUGCUAAACUAACAGUGCUAGCAAAAAAGUGAUUGCGAAUUAUGGUAAAUUGAAUUCAAAAGUUAAUAUCAAACACGUAUUCAGCAAUCUCGAAAUUAAUUGAACAACAAGUGACAUUCGAAACCCAUAAAUCAGAACUUGAUAAAAAGCCCACUAUCACAACUUUUGCAGCAAAAUAUACGUAAUUACAUACAAACAUAUGGAUCAAAACUAGAUAGGACUAAGA
rnacentral:lncRNA from 1 species